rnacentral:lncRNA from 1 species
ACUCAACAUUCAAUCCCAAUCUUUGGAUCUGCUGUAGUCAUUCUUUUAAAAAUAAAAAUCAAUUUCAGGUCUCUGACUCAUCCUGCUUAUACCUCUAGCAAUUUUUUUUCUUGAAAUUCUGAAAAUGAUUCACAUACAUAUGCAUAUUUAAUUCUCUUAGAUAAUCUAUAAACUUGGAUGGUAUUUAUUCUGAAUGGGAAAAAUACCCAAAAUUUUAUAUGGGGAAAAAAAUCUAUGUAAUUUAUAAUGGUUUGUUUUAUAUAUUUAUAUUUUCAUAUCUUUAGGGCAUAUCUGUUGUUCUCAUCUUUUUGUACAUCAUAGUUGGCAAAAAGAAAAACUAAUACUUGACUAAAAUCUCUAGGAACCAAAUGUGAUAUAUGUCAUACAUAAUGUAUAUAAAUUGCUCUAGAAAUACAUGAAUGUUCCCACCCAAGCCAAGCAUUGUUUUGUCAUGUCAUUACAGCCAGAAUGUCUGGGGUGCUUACAAACAUUACUUUUUCACAAGGAAGACUGAAAAGCCUGAUAUCCUACACAGUGGCUCUCGGACUCUCUUUCCCUUCGUUAUCUUAUUUGUCCCUUCUUUAACUGAGCACAUCCUUCUAAAGGGCAAAUGAGAGCCAGUGAGAACACAAGAGGAAUGAAUCUAGUUAUGGCUUAGGUAAAUCACAUUAACAGAUUGGGGGCAUGCUUUAAAUCCCAGGUUCAGGUUGCCAUUCACUGGCCUUGUGGCAUCUGCUCAGUUCUAUUGCACACAAAGGGUAGGGCAUGAAGAAUGAAUGAAUGCUUGCAUGUUUUGAACAGGCACGGUGGACAUUUAGUGCAGCAUAGUGGUGACUAUGGGGAUACCCAUGUGGCACUGGAAGAAAUGUUGUAGAAAAUCAAAUCAGCUACUUUUUUCUUACACACUUUGAAGUAGUAUGUUUAUUCCUGUGUUAGAACUUUUAACUGGCAGUCCCAGUGAUUACAUGAACUAGGGAUUUCCUUCCCAUGUCUUCAUUUGGUAAGAAAUAGACCAUCAAAGUCUCUUUAAAACAAUGUUUUCUCAGUACAUUCAACUGCUUUCCUCCAUAUGACUUAGCACAUCCUCUCAGAAACCCCAUAAGUAAAUUUUGUUUUUAUUGUUGCUUCUCAAACACUUACUGGUAGUCUUUAAAUAUCACUCAAACUCCAUUAUGUAUUUACACACAGUUUUGAACAUAUAUUAACUUUAAGAUAUUGAUUUUACAUUUCACCAAUAAAGCCUUCAAACCAAUAACGAAGUUCAUUUUAUUAAUAGCCUUUUAUGAUUUCUUCAGAGAUUAACAGGCUUUGAUGAAACAAACCAUUGGUGAGUAAAAUAAUCAAAUAGUACAUAAUUAUUAUAUUUUCCAAAAGACUAAGUGGUUGAUUAUUAUACAAAAAAAUCUCAUGUAAGAAGUAUGCUCUUUGAAUGACUUUUCUUUUCCUUAAAAUGGGCAUGUAAGGGGCUAGCUCUGAGACUACUAAAAUCACUAAAGAUAGCUAGAAUAAAGCUAGAAAGUAAAUCAUUCUAAGAGCAUCAUUAUGGAGAAAAUGAAUUUUUAUUAUUUAACCAAUUAUAAAAGCCUCAAAAUGCAUCUCUAAUACUACAGAACCAUGAACAGUGAGUUGGUUUCAAAGAAUAUGUUCGCAUCUAUUUUUUGGUUUACUGUGCUUCACUAGUUCUGAACAUUCUUUGUUAAACUGGGAAUGAGAAAUGAGAUAGAAGAUGUAUCAGGAAGAAAUAAGAAAUAAUUUAAAGGUAUAAACAAAUGACUAAGCUAGAAGUUGGUAUCACUGUAGUAAAGAGAAACCAUGGCUUGUGAUCCAUCCUGUAGUCUGAUUGUUGCUUUAAUAAAGGGUUUACACAGGUGUG